GGGUCACGGCCCACCAAGGCGAUGACGGGUAGCUGGUCUGAGAGGAUGGCCAGCCACAUUGGGACUGAGAUACGGCCCAGACUCCUACGGGAGGCAGCAGUGGGGAAUAUUGCGCAAUGGCCGCAAGGCUGACGCAGCGACGCCGCGUGGGGGAUGAAGCAUUUCGGUGUGUAAACCCCUGUUGCCCGGGACGAACCUCUCCUUUCGAGGAGACUGACGGUACCGGGUGAGGAAGCACCGGCUAACUCCGUGCCAGCAGCCGCGGUAAUACGGAGGGUGCGAGCGUUGUCCGGAAUCACUGGGCGUAAAGGGCGCGUAGGCGGUGACUUAAGCGUGUGGUGAAAGCCCGGGGCUCAACCCCGGGUCGGCCGUGCGAACUGGGUCACUCGAGCACUGUAGAGGCAGGUGGAAUUCCGGGUGUAGCGGUGGAAUGCNNNGAGAUCCGGANGNACACCAGUGGCGAAGGCGGCCUGCUGGGCAGUAGNUGACGCUGNGGGCGCGACAGNNUGGGGAGCAAACAGGAUUAGAUACCCUGGUAGUCCACGCCGUAAACGAUGGGCACUAGGUGCUUGGGGGAACGACCCCCCGAGUGCCGGCGCUAACGCAUUAAGUGCCCCGCCUGGGGAGUACGGCCGCAAGGCUGAAACUCAAAGGAAUUGACGGGGGCCCGCACAAGCGGUGGAGCAUGUGGUUUAAUUCGACGCAACGCGAAGAACCUUACCCAGUUUUGACAUGGCCGGGAAAGCCUCUGGAAACAGGGGCCCCUCUUCGGAGCUCGGUCACAGGUGCUGCAUGGCUGUCGUCAGCUCGUGUCGUGAGAUGUUGGGUUAAGUCCCGCAACGAGCGCAACCCUUGCCCUUAGUUACCAGCGGGUUAUGCCGGGGACUCUAGGGGGACUGCCGUGGUUAACACGGAGGAAGGUGGGGAUGACGUCAAGUCCUCAUGGCCUUUAUAUCUAGGGCGACACACGUGAUACAAUGGAUGGUACAGAGGGAAGCGAACCCGCGAGGGGGAGCGAAUCUCAAAAAGCCAUUCUCAGUUCGGAUUGGAGUCUGCAACUCGACUCCAUGAAGUUGGAAUCGCUAGUAAUCGCGGAUCAGAACGCCGCGGUGAAUACGUUCCCGGGCCU
rnacentral:rRNA from 1 species